rnacentral:rRNA from 1 species
AACGAACGCUGGCGGCAUGCCUAACACAUGCAAGUCGAACGAUCCCUUCGGGGACAGUGUCGCCCGGCUGCGUCACGCGUGGGAACCUGCCCUCAGGUUUGGCAUACCUCAGAGACAUUUGAGCUAAUACCGGACAAUGUCUUCGGACCAAAGAUUUAUGGCCGUUGGUUGGACCAGCGUUGGAUUAGCUAGUUGGUUGGGUAAUGGCCUACCAAGGCGACGAUCCAUAGCUGGUCAGAGAGGCAGAUCAGCGACACUGGGACUGAGACACGGCCCAGACUCCUCCGGGAGGCGGCAGUGGGGAAUAUUGGACAAUGGGCGAAGGGCUGAAGGAGCUAUGCCGGGUGAGUGAUGAAGGCAGGAGAGUUGUAAAGCUCUAUUAACCGUGAUGAUAAUGACAGUACCGGGAGAAUAAGCCCCGGCUAACUCCGUG